rnacentral:misc_RNA from 1 species
GAUGAAGAACGUAGCGAAAUGCGAUACUUGGUGUGAAUUGGAGAAUCCCGUGAACCAUCGAGUCUUUGAACGCAAGUUGCGCCCGAAGCCACUAGGCCGAGGGCACGCCUGCCUGGGCGUCACACGCCGUUGCCCCCCCAUCUACUCCUUCGGGAUUGCGGGGGGGCGGAUGAUGGCCUCCUGUGCGCCUAGCCGCGCGGUUGGCAUAAAUACCAAGUCCUCGGCGACGCACGCCACGACAAUCGGUGGUUGCGAAACCUCGGUUGCCCGUCGUGUGCGUUCGUCGCGCAUCGAGGGCUCGAAAAAAUGCUCGGCUCCGGCUGGGCUUUCAACGCGACCCCAGGUCAGGCGGGGUUACCCGCUGAAUUUAAGCAUAUCAAUAAGCGGAGGA